GAAUUCUGGGAAUUGAAGGCCACAGGUUUUAAAAUUGCAAGAUUGGAGACCCCUGUGUUAUUCUCUAGGGCAGGUGUGUUAAGUUGGAAAUUUGCAAAUUUGCAAACAAAUGGGACUUUUCUCCAUUUGAUACUAUAACAUCUGGAUCACAGUGCAUCUUCAAAUCAUUUUAGUCAAAGAUCAUCACCUAAGCAGUCCCUUUUCCUGUGCAUGUACAGCAACACUUUUGACAACUGCCUGUACAAUCCUUCCUUCAAUCCUUUAAUGGUCUUUGAAACCAUACAUUCUUGAGAAAUCUCAUAGGAGCCCUGGUAGCGCAGUGGUUAGAAUGCAGUACUGCAGGCAAAUAUUUGCCUUCAAACUGCCCACAGUAUAGAAUUCGAUCCCAAUGGGGUCAAGGUUGAUCCAGCCAACCAUGCUUCCGAGGUUGAUAAAAUGAGGACUCAGAUUGUUUGGGGGCAAUAUGCUGACCUUGUAAACUGCACAGGGAGUGCUGUAAAACACUAAGGAAGGGUAUGUAAGUCUAAGUGUUACUAUUAUUGCUAUAUCUCCCAGGAUAUUUCUUCCCAAAUCUGCUUCCUUGUCAUUCAGUCUCAUUGGCAGUAAUGCUGAUCUGUGUUUUGUAAGGUAACCAUUCAUAGAAUUGUCAAUAUCUUUUAUAGUCUGCCAUUUGGCGUUUAUUAUUUGGGAGGCAUCUAAGCACAGCAUAAGUCCCUUUUUUUCCCUCUUGAUCUCUCAUCUUGUUUUGUUUUGUUUUCCCUUCAGGCUAAAUGAAGGCAAUUCUUUCAAGCAUUCUUCACAGGACUUUUUAAAACACGCCUUCACUCUGGUGAACAUCAUCUCCAUUUGGUCAAUGCUUAUCUAAAAAACUGUUGGCCGGGGUCUGCAUUAUUUAUCUGGUUAUUUCCAAAUCCCAAACUCUCUCAUCUCUUGUACUCUGGACAGUUUCCAAAGAGGAAAACUCUUAUUUCUUCUGCUUUGUGACUACAUUUCACUCUAUCUUCUUAUACACACCUAUCAUUUUCAGCUAAGGGAUUGGCAUUCUAAUAGGAACACUUAAAUCUUUGAAAUAUAUUUUCCCCCUAAAGUGCAAGAAAACUUGAGCAGAAUGGAUGAUCCAUACAGAAUGCAUACAUGCAUGCAGGCGGCAGCUGCUUCCUUAAAAGAGGUAUUUUCCUGAUAAUAGCUGAAGAAACAAGAAUGGUUCUUACAAAGUGGUAUCACCCUUAUUCUUUAAAACAAAGCGUGUGUUUCCCUUUUAGAACUAUUCCCUCCUCUAUGCAGAAUUGUCUUGUUUCAAGGCAAUAGGUCAAACAAAUAUAUCCAUAGACCCAUCUCAUUCCCAGUCAAUCUUACUUGACUAAAUUUGGUGACAUCCAUCAGGAAAACUUUCUAAUGGAAUUAGCAACCGGACCAUAAAUAAUUCCUUUGUGGAUGUGUCACUUUGCCAUUUAGGAAAAUGCAGCAGAGGAUGUGGGAACAUAUCUUGCCAUCAUGGGCUGUGCUGGCUGGGGAUAAUGGGGAAUGAUGUCCAAUAAUGCAUAAAAGAGAAAACCACAAAUUCCUCAAUCUUUUAUACCGGAACCUAUAGAAGAGUUUUGAUUUAAAUAGCUAAAGACUUUUCCUAUCUUCAUCCCAUCAGCCUCUCCAAGGUAAAAGAGGGGUGUGUAGAAAAGAUGAAUAUGAGGACUGGAAUAUUCUCCCCGAGAUUUUAAGUUAAGCCACAGGGGAAGAAAUGACUCAUUUAGAAGCUCUUACGGUCUGUACUUUUGAGUCAGAAAAUCUAAGCUCUGGUAACACCUCUCAAAAUAGCAGCUCAGGUGAUGCGAUAAUGAAAGCAACAGAUUCUAUGCUCAAAAACCGAUGUCUUACCCAUAAAAUAAUGUCGGUUUUUCUGAAUAUGAGCAGUAACAUAAAAAGGAGCUUGUAAAAUAUACUCACAAGUGAAAUGAGCGCCUCCCUUUCUGUGUUGGACCAUACCCCGUUUGUAAAGUUAAGUACUUCUAUAGUGUAGGUCAGUUCUUG